GACGGAGGGUGCUAGCGUUGUUCGGAAUCACUGGGCGUAAAGCGCGUGUAGGCUGCUCUGCAAGUCGGAUGUGAAAGCCCUGGGCUCAACCUAGGAAGUGCACUCGAAACUGCAGAGCUCGAGUCUCGGAGAGGAUCGCGGAAUUCUCGGUGUAGAGGUGAAAUUCGUAGAUAUCGAGAGGAACACCGGUGGCGAAGGCGGCGAUCUGGACGAUGACUGACGCUGAGACGCGAAAGCGUGGGGAGCAAACAGG
rnacentral:rRNA from 1 species